CCAUAUGGGAUCCUCAAGCCCCCUGCUGAAGCAGAUGUAUGCGCAGACUCCACAUACCUCAUCCUCACCCGGAGUUCAUGGGGACAUCGAGAAAUAGGAGCCAGAAGGGAAGGGAGCCCUGUCACCUUGUGAAGCUGCCACCAUGGCAGCCCUAGAGAUAUAGCUGAGAAAGCUCCUCAUUUUUUCUUACUCAAUUUUUUUUCUCAUCUCUUUAUCUAUAGGUAAGCUUGCUUAAAAGAACUUUGGGUGGCCUGGUAACUUCAGGACGCUUCGCCAAUUACCAGAGGAAGUAAGGCUUGCCCAAAACCGAGCAAACCAGAACCAGUGGCCCCUGUCACCUUUAGAUCAUUAGCAUAUCAUUAUAAUGCUAAAGUCCCCACUCAUAGAAGAGAAUCAUAGAAGAGAAUCGUUGCCACUUUCUGCACACGUGUCGUAUGAAGAGCCUGUUCAUGAUCUGCACCUGCGUGUCUGAAGUUCCUCCCCACAUAAGCUUACAUAGCUCCUGCCCCACAUCUAACCCUGUUACAUUCCCCAGCUCCCCACCGCUCUGGAAGAAGCUGUCUUUAGAGCAAGUGCUCUCUCCUUCUCCAUGCCUGGCCGGGAAUAAAACCUGCUUUUCCUUUUCCCCAA
ensembl:lncRNA novel transcript